UGUCCACGUUUCCUUUCUCUAGGAACUCUUACAGGCCAAACAGGAUCUUCAGGAUCUGCUCAUUGCCAAAGAGGAGCAGGAAGACCUCUUGAGAAAGAGGGAGCGUGAACUCACUGCCCUGAAGGGAGCCCUGAAAGAAGAGGUUUCCAGCCACGACCAGGAGAUGGACAAACUGAAGGAGCAGUAUGACGCCGAGCUGCAGGCCCUGAGGGAGAGUGUGGAGGAAGCAACUAAGAAGGUGUUCACUUCUCAUGCCCCCAGUGCCCUAGGCUUCAUGCUGGAGAGGAGAGCUUAGAAGACAUUCUUCCUUCCCUUGAGGAUCACAGAUGGGGAUGGACUACAUGUAGAGCAGAAUCAACUGGAAAACAACCAGCCCUUGCAAGCUUCCGUACCUCAGCAUGUGCUGUUUCUUUUGUCUGCACUGCCUUUCCCGUCCCUUCUUUGCUUGGUACCAAGCACUUUCUAGCUUUAUGCAUGUCCCCCACGUCGAGUUACAGCUCCCUUACCUCCUCUCCCCUGGCGUUUGGUUCCUAUCUCCAUUAUGGAUAUAUUGUAUUGUACUUUCUUUUUUCACAUCAGUUGCUCAUACUUCAGGUUGAUUGGUUCAACAUUUUGUGUGUGUGUGUGUGUGUGUGUAUUUUAUGAGUAUUUACUUUGGGCCAGACACUAUUAAAUCUAGUGAG